CGGCGUAGAAAGCAUAAAUCAGCAGCUGACCCAAGCUGAACUGGCAUGCCACAACGGAUGGAUUAUAAAAAUCAUAAGUAGGGGCGUCCUUCCCCAAGGAGAAAUUCACCGGUAAGAUCCCUGGCUUAAUCAGAUCAUCUAUAAGGUCAUCAUCAAAAGUGUUGGUCGUCGAGUCAAAGCAAGGGGGGAGCUCAAAGAGUGGUUCCGAUCUCUGGUACGGGAACCAGCUGGUGGUCUC
rnacentral:lncRNA from 1 species